CGGACAUUCUCAUAUUUAACAAAAGCCAUUGCACACUCAAAAUACUUAGAAAGAAUUAAAGAAGCAAAUACAAAAAAAUUAACUGAACAUAUGAAAUACAAUAUAAAUAGCUUUUAUAGUGUGCAACAAGUGAGAAUACUAAAUUAUGCUGUAACAUUCCACUGUUAAGUUUAACAUGAGAAACACUAGAUAUUAUGAACUGUACUAUGGAAAUGAAGAGCAUUGCAAGCCUAUUAAAACGUCACAUAACUAUGUCAAUUAACGUUAUUACACCUGCGAAAUAGAUUUAAUAUUUACAGAUUUAUCCGAGGAGGAAUAAUGGGGGUAGUUACAUUACAAUUUUAUGAAAAAUAGGCUCUUUCAUAAAAUUAUCGGACGAUGUUAACAGAGACCGUCAGAAACAGAAAAUGAUGUAAAUGGAAAAGGUCAACAGAACAGAUCAACAGAAAGGACACAGAAACAACAGCGCCUCCGCAGGCCAAAGGGGUGAAUUGUCACAAAACUUGUCAACCUCCUUGUCAUCACCAGAGGCAUGCAGCAAGUUUUUGAUCUGGGCUUUUACCUCAGUCUAUUUUAAAAUCAACUUUUGUUGGCACCACCUGAAAUGCCAGUAGAAUUAGACGCUUUGAAUGACAAAUUAAACACAGAAAGUAUGUUAGAUGUUUUUUUUUUAUCAGCAGCAGCUUUAUCUUGCACUCUGAGCAAUAAGUAACAGACAGAUGGUGCAUAAGUUGUAAAUUGAGAUUCUAAAUUAUGAAAAUACAAUAUCUUACACUAGUGUGUCUGGAUUAGUGGUUGAUGGAGAAAAGGAAGAGUCACUGGAUUAUGACAAAGUAAAAAUGUAGUUGUUUUCAUAAAAGUUAUUAUUCACAUGUUUGGACUGCACAAGCAGGGGCUGCUUCUGCUUUCACUCACGGAGACUGAAAUGCCAAUAUCAUGUCAGUGCAGCAGAAAUAGGUCAAGCCCGACACGCAGAUACGCACUCACAAGCACACAGAUAGAUGAAUUACUCAUUCUCUUUCAUGGCCUUUGUAGAUGGAGGAAGCGGAUGCCGAUGCAAAAAGAUCAAAACCCCUGUGCGCAAGAAACAAGUGUCCUCCCCCCAGCAGCCGAGUGGGAGGGAGGAAGAGUCGCUCAACAGGGGACACAGCGAGGCUGCGGCACUUUGACGUGGGACAGAGCUGUAGACGGGGAGGCUCAGCUGGAAGAGUCCAAGGUUCCCACAGGGGCCUGGAGUGGAGUGAGGCAGAGGACAUGGAGGAAUGACAAGCAGCAGCUGGACAUAGAGGAGCACACACAAUGGACCUCAGUCAACUGUGAGAUAUGUCUGUGA
rnacentral:lncRNA from 1 species